rnacentral:rRNA from 1 species
GUGGGGAAUCUUGCGCAAUGGGCGAAAGCCUGACGCAGCCAUGCCGCGUGAAUGAUGAAGGUCUUAGGAUUGUAAAAUUCUUUCACCGGGGACGAUAAUGACGGUACCAGAGGAAUAAGCCCCGGCUAACUCCGUGCCAGCAGCCGCGGUAAGACGGAGGGGGCAAGCGUUGUUCGGAAUUAUUGGGCGUAAAGGGCUCGUAGGCGGAUCUGUAAGUCUGGCGUGAAAUCUCCACCGCUUAACGGGGAGCUGCCGCUGGAUACUGCAGAUCUGGAGUUCGGUAGAGGAUCGUGGAAGUUCGGGUGUAGCGGUGGAAUGCGUAGAUAUCCGAAAGAACACCAGUGGCGAAGGCGACGAUCUGGGCCUGAACUGACGCUGAGGAGCGAAAGCUAGGGGAGCAAACGGGAUUAGAAACCCCAGUAGUCC